AGUGAACGCUGGCGGUAGGCCUAACACAUGCAAGUCGAACGGCAGCACAGUAAGAGCUUGCUCUUACGGGUGGCGAGUGGCGGGCGGGUGAGGAAUACAUCGGAAUCUACUUUUUCGUGGGGGAUAACGUAGGGAAACUUACGCUAAUACCGCUUACGACCUACGGGUGAAUGCAGGGGAUCUUCGGACCUUGCGCGAUUGAUUGAGCCGAUGUCGGAUUAGCAAGUUGGCGGGGUAAAGGCCCACCAAGGCGACGAUCCGUAGCUGGUCUGAGAGGAUGAUCAGCCACACUGGAACUGAGACACGGUCCAGACUCCUACGGGAGGCAGCAGUGGGGAAUAUUGGACAAUGGGCGCAAGCCUGAUCCAGCCAUACCGCGUGGGUGAAGAAGGCCUUCGGGUUGUAAAGCCCUUUUGUUGGGAAAGAAAAGCAGCAGGUUAAUACCCCGAUGUUCUGACGGUACCCAAAGAAUAAGCAACGGCUAACUUCGUG
rnacentral:rRNA from 1 species